UACAGAGGUCUCAAGCGUUGUUCGGAUUCAUUGGGCGUAAAGGGUGCGUAGGUGGCGCUGUAAGUCGGGUGUGAAAUUUCGGAGCUUAACUCCGAAACUGCAUUCGAUACUGCGGUGCUUGAGGACUGGAGAGGAGACUGGAAUUCAUGGUGUAGCAGUGAAAUGCGUAGAGAUCAUGAGGAAGACCAGUGGCGAAGGCGGGUCUCUGGACAGUUCCUGACACUGAGGCACGAAAGCUAGGGUAGCGAACGGG
rnacentral:rRNA from 1 species